GACGAACGCUGGCGGCGUGCUUAACACAUGCAAGUCGAACGAGAAGAGAUGAGAAGCUUGCUUCUUAUUGAUUCGAGUGGCAAACGGGUGAGUAACGCGUAAGCAACCUGCCCUUCAGAGGGGGACAACAGUUGGAAACGACUGCUAAUACCGCAUGACAUAUUGAGAUCGCAUGGUUUUAAUAUUAAAGAUUUAUCGCUGAAAGAUGGGCUCACGUCUGAUUAGUUAGUUGGUGAGGUAACGGCUCACCAAGACUGCGAUCAGUAGCCGGACUGAGAGGUUGAACGGCCACAUUGGGACUGAGAUACGGCCCAGACUCCUACGGGAGGCAGCAGUGGGGAAUAUUGGGCAAUGGGCGAAAGCCUGACCCAGCAACGCCGCGUGAAGGAAGAA
rnacentral:rRNA from 1 species